CACAGAGUCUGCGCAUUUCCUGUUCACAGGAAGUUUAUGUUUUCUAUUGCCCCAUUUCUCUCUCUGUGUCUGGAGACAAACAAAAGCAAUAGAAAACAUAAACUUCCUGUGAACAGGAAAUGCGCAGACUCUGUG